rnacentral:lncRNA from 1 species
AAAAGUAAUUCCAAAAUUUUAAUUAUUUUUAAUUAAAAUAAAUAUGGUUUUUAUUGACGGUGUUAGAAGAACUGUUAUAUUAGGGGCGUUUGUACAAAAAUAGUGCAUUACGAUAGUACAGAAAUACAUAUAAAUUUAAGAGGAUAUUCAUGCAAAUUUGAAUUUUUAGAAGAAUAUUAUGCAAAAAAAUCUCUGCAAGUUUAUAGAUAAAACCAAGGCCUUGGAUGUUAAUAAACGAGAGACCACACUGGGCAAUUAGUUAACAGUAACUAGACAAUGCUAAUAUCCCUGAAAUCAAGCAAUUAGUAAACAACUUUCUAAUUUAAUCACAAUUUUAAAGAAUACCACUAAUAGAUCGAAUUGGAGUCAGUCGUAUCUUGGUUCAGUAUCUAUCUGAGCCACAAUUGAAUAAGCUUUGGGUUAUAAUCAUGACCUGGUUUUAUCUACUGUACCUCAAGAUGGCAAACCAGCAAUCUUUGUAGGCUAGCAGGACCCAUUUACAUCUCAAGUCACUC